rnacentral:rRNA from 1 species
GCGCACCGUCGAGAAAACUGGCCAAUGCGCGAAAGCGUGAGCCGGCUAAUCUGAGUGGUUCCCCAUCGGGAACCUUUUGCCAAGUGUACUAAAGCGUUAGGCGAAUAAGGAGAGGGCAAGACGUAGGUGCCAGCCGCCGCGGUAAAACCAGCUCUUCGAAUCGUGGGCAUGAUUAUUUAGGCUUAAAAGUGUGCGUAGCAGGACAGGAUAAGUCUCCUGUGAAAUGCCAGGUCUUAAGCCUGGCGCGUGCGGGAGAUACUAUCCGUCUUGGGACC